CCCCUGAGCCCCGAUUUUUAUGUCUUCUUUGGAUUAAAAAACAAAUGUUGAAUGUUCUCAAAUAAUAUAAUAUUGCCGUGCCAGUGUUUUUUUCAUUGAAAACGUGGGUGUUACCGGUGGCAGACCUCUGGUCUAGAUCAUCCCUAUUCACUUUUUUAAAUUGUAGUGUGACCUUAGUAUUCCUUUUUAUUUUUUAAUUUUAUGUUUGGGAAAAGUGUCAUUUUAGCUACAGUGAUUUUAUUUGAAAUUAACAUUAGUUCCUACCUGUCCUUGUUGACGGGGGGCAGGAAAAAGGUGACGCGCGUUGGAUAAGAGCGGCGUAAAGAAAAAAGUGUACAUGUGCCGUACUGUCUUGCCGUGUGGUGCAUUAAAGAAGAAUACCACAUAAAGAAAAUUGCCCGUACCAACAGCGAGAAAUCAGGGUUACAGUAGCUUGUCUGCCACAAAUCAAACGCUGCACGAGGGAGGGCGCAGCAUCGAGUGGGGACCACUCCUGUUUCAUUUCCUGGUGGUUCAAGCGACUCACCCUGGUCGCUCUGCAUUCUGCCGCCUCUGGUGGCCUCAUCUUUGUCGCCUCCGGUCGCAACAGCAGCGGUGCCUCCUUUCUCGUCGGCCACCUCGAUUCUCCAGUCUCCUGGACCGUCCUCAUCCUGGUGGACACUGUCGCUCCCUGUGGGUCUCAGAAGGCAAUCUUUGGAGUUUUGACGGCGGCCUCACAGAACCCUUUGGUGGUUCCUGGGCACUAAGUGUGCUGUUCUGACACAGCAGCAACAGCUGGGCAAAGACUCCUCUUGCCUGCACCCUCCUUCAAGAAAGGGUUUUGGACAUUGUUGUGCUCCUGCCCCUGUUAAAGGACACUUACACAUGGACUCUUUUCAUUUUUGCCUGAGUUAAAGCAUUCCAGUCUCUGUGUUUCCUAGUUCCCCUGUUUUCAUGAUUUUGUUCUGACCCUCUUCCAAUCCUCCCUCCGCCACCCUGCUAGUGUUUUGUUCAGCCUUAGAUUUAGCCUUAGAGAGAGCGGUUCUGUCAUGGAUCCAGCAUCAUGGGCUUGGCGUUGUGUGGCUUCCUGUUUUAUUUUGACCACUGUUUAGUUCCUGUCUGUGUUUGUCGGAUUUGUUCAUUCAUGUGACCGGUUCAGCUGUUUCCAUUUACUCAUUUAGUCAUGUCUUUAAGCCUCAGUUCCUGUGAUGGUUUUUGCCAGUUCUCUGCUCACGUUACCUGAUGUCAGCUUUCCAGCAUUUCCUGACAAGUGGUGUCAAGGAAAACAGCUGCAUCCUCCAUCUGUACAGCAGCUGCACUGCUUCCGAUGUCUUCCAACACGUGAAGACAAAAAAGAUCCUCACAUCUCCCCAGCCAACUGCCCAUGACUGUACCUGUUCCACUCCAGAAACUAUGCUUUCAACAUAACUAUGAAUCCUACCCGUUCAUUUUGUGGUCUGCAAAUUGAACUGUGACGGUAACUUAUCCAGCAUUAUAGUGCUGGUGCAUUGGUUAAAAAUAAAGUUGGCUUUGACUAUU